CAGUUGGUAUUGACUGGUACAGCAGCGGUGAAGAUUCAGAAUGAAUGGUUGUUUUUCUUUCUUUUGUAGGCUCAUGGAAACCAGUUGUAUAUGAUGUUGCUAGAGGAAAGCAUAAGGAAAGUAAGAAAACACGAGAAUGAACAUAGAAACUGCAGUUCAGCUUUAAAGAAUAAGGAACUUUUGACAUCCUACCUGCUCCUAAGAUCUGAGGCAGACAGCAAAGGUAAACAAGGCCUUCCGAAACAGGGCCAAUUUUAUAUUUCCAAGAAAAUUAAGAAAAAUGUAUUACAUUUUUACAAAAUUAAAAGCAUGUCAAUGAAGCACAAAAUCCUCGCCUUCCUUUUCUCCUUUCUCUAGUUAUGUUCCUAGCUGGGGAACUACAGGUAGAAGGAAAUCAUAGACAAAAUGUUUCCCAUAAUUCACAU